AACUUGACUCUAUUCCUGCACAGUGAAAGACAUGAGAGGUGUAGAAUAAGUGGGAGGCCCCCUUGCAGGGAUGAGUCAGGGGACUGGGGACAGUGCUAGGUGGGGAGUUUGACUGGGGCAGUACACCUGUCAAACAGUAAGCAGGUGUCUUAAGGUGAGCUCAGGGAGGACAGAAACAUCCCAUGGAGCAAAAGGGCAAAAGCUCACUUGAUCUUGAUUUCAGUACGAAUACAGGCCCCAUGUAAGGCUGAAAUCCAGCGGACAGUCAAAUCAUAAAGCU
rnacentral:ncRNA from 1 species